GUGGGUGGUUUUGUUCUUUGGUAGGAUCUCACUCUGUAGCUCAGACUGGCUACAGACUCAUGGCAAUCCUCCUUACUCAGAUCCCAAGUGCUAAGUAUCACAAGCAUGUACCACCCCACUCUGCUAAAAGAAGUCACACAACACUACUAGCUAAAUGCCUCCAGAAGAAAGAAAACUGAGCUUUUCCAGUACUACUUUGUCCUCAGUUUGGCUUGAGGGGGAAGUGAGAGCUAAGUUCCCACCUCAAUGUUGGGACAUGUGGAAGAAUUGUGGACAGAAUUCUCGGUGUGCAGAAGAGAUGGGGCAAGCAAAGGAUCAGGCCUCAUGUCUGCCAGGGUUGGGGAUAGGCACACCCCCAUGAAUGUAGAGGCCUGCUUAUUUCUUCAACACCUUUCAGCCCAUGUGGUUUUUGUUGGCCACCACCCCAUCUUUGUCACAACCUAGUACCAGACUAUCUGAGUCUCCUAGAGCAUGCUGAAAUUUUCACCACCUACACCAAGUUGCUCAAUAUCUACUGAUUUGCAAUUCACCAUCCUUGAGGCUGCUUUGCUCUGUCUGAGUGGUUGUUGUUUGAGGGUUUUAUUUGUUGGUAGUGUUACUAUUGUUUCCAAAAGUGUUCUGGCUAUGUAUCCCAAAUUACCCGAGACCUUGGGUCUAUGCAGUCCUCUUGCCUUUCUUUCUCUUCUGUAGUAGCUAUAGUGGCACCUACAUGUCCAGGUCUGCUUUUUAGCCUCACUAAUUAUGAUGCUAUUAUCUCCUCUCAUGUACUCCCUUUCCUGGUGGGAAUUUAUUUUUAAAAACAAAAUUAACAACAGAGACUGGCUGUAGUUUCAUCAGUCUUUGAGAGAGAGUGAGUUUAGAUGUAUUCAUUAGAUUUGCUCUUUCAAUCAGGAAGUCUCCAAAGGAAAUCCUGCCUCUCCCUUCCUUAGUUGUCUGAACUUGACUGUCAAUUGGAUGUCUCCCAUGGAAGCCCAGAGCCUAGAAGCAGUGCUUGCUCUGUCCAGCAAGAAGACAGACACCACGGGAACAUGAAGUUGUGAGGAGACUGCCUUGUCUUGAAGCAUGAUGAUUAAAAGCCUAGAUAUUUUUUAAACCUCAGACCCUGGCUCAGCCUGGCUACUUGCUCACUGCAGGUGUUUGAGCUAGCUGCAAUCAGGAGAGAAAGAGAUGGCAUUCAAUUUUGACUGUUACUGACCCAGAAGACUUCUGUGUAGCUAAGGUGUGUGUUUUCUGCCUUUUAUUUAAGGGAGAACAGAAACUGCACGACAUAGCCUAACACUGUGAUCCAAAGAAAGAAGAUUGUUAGGGACAUUUUAACUCCCAGAGGCUUCUAGGCAUAAGAUCAAUCUACUGUUACAUGUGAGACCCACUUAGGGGAGAGUAUGCCUUCCUUUGCCUCCCUUUGUGUUUUGACUGGGAGUGAUAGAGAUUUUCAAAGUGUCUGUUCCUAUCUUGCGGCACCUGAAUGAGUACUUCAGGCCACUCAGGAUUGUGCCGCUGAAAUAGGGCUGCACUGACUAUCUGCUGGAGUAGCUUCCAUGUGCCAUUUGCAGGCUUCUCUGCCUGAUGGACUGCUGGAGCACUGCAAGCAUAUGGUAAUGUUGAUGGAGGUCCAUUUCUUUCUGUUUUUUCCUCUUUAUUGUCUGAGAAUUUCAUGCAUGUACAUAAUAUGAUUUGAUCACAUCUAUCCCUAUUCUGACUCCACAAAUACUGUUUGCUUCCAGUAUCACAUACUCCUUUUUGUUUUAACCCAUGAAGUCCACUUGGUAUUGCCUGCAUGUGCAUGUGUAGGACUUACACGGGUCUUGUGCAUGUACUCACAGCUACCGAGAGUUCAUGUGAGUGACUGCCCUGUUAUGUCUGGAAAACUCCAUUUCCCUAUAAUCAUCUACUACCUUUUCUGUUACAAUCUUCCACUCUAGGGUUUGGAGGAAGGAGUAUGAUAUAGAUAUUCCAUUUAAGUCUAUGUACUCAAGUCUCAUAUUAUCUCCAUGGUAACCAGUUGUAUGUCUCUGUGUUCAUCACCAUCUAUUACAAAAAGAAGCUUCUCUAACGAGGGUUAAGAAAUGCACUAAUCUAUGGGAAUACAAAUGAAUUAGGGAACCAUUUAAAACUAUGCCUACCUAGCAGACUAAUUAGUGGUAGAUUCUUCCCCAGGAUCUACAACAUUGCCAGCCAUGAGAUUUUGGACCAAUUAUUAACAGUACUGAGGUACUUUAAUACUCAUUCAGGUACUCUUUCACCUUAUGAAAACGGCCUUAAAUCCAGUUGGCAAGCGGUUGUCCCACACUCUAACAUCUGUACCAGUUGGUGUAUCAUGCCAAGCCUCUUACUGCUGAAGCUCACAGUGACCACAGCUGAAUGAGAUUACUGAUUCCUUUUCUCCUCGAGUAGCACUCACAGCUUCUGGAUGCUAGUCAGUAGGGAUGAUGCUUCCAGGUCAGUGGCAGCUUGAUUUCUCCAGGUUCCAUAACUCAAGUUAUCUUCAAGAACUGGGUUUUACCAUCCACUUCUGAAGAGUAACCAAGAACAAUGGGGAUUGCCAGGAAUUAUUGUGAAUCUAUAGGACCCCACAACUAAAAAAGAAGUAACCCAUGUCUUACACUAGACUUUUAUUUGAUAGCCUAUUAUAUAUAUAUCCUAUUAUAGGGUAACUCAAUUUAAGUUUCAUAUGUGUAUAUGUGUACUUUACUAAUUUUCUACAGUAAUAAGUUUCCAUGUGGUUUAUUCAAAGGUCUUUGAUGUUAGUUGUCCCUCCCCAUACUCCCUCUGAUACCUUGCCUUCCCAUACCCCACCUCAUUCAAAUAUUUUUUGAUCAAUUAUUCCUUGUUUCUACUUUGCAUCAACUGUGUUUCAUCUACUGAAAGCCUCUCCCAUGACUUCUUAGUCAUUUCCUAACUCUUAUAGGUAAAUAGAAGUCCAUUCCUUAGUAAUUUCAUCAUUAAAACUUUUCAAGAAAUGGACUACAGAGAAUUCCUAAGAAACUAAAACAAAAC
rnacentral:lncRNA from 1 species